UACGUAGGGUGCGAGCGUUGUCCGGAAUUACUGGGCGUAAAGAGCUCGUAGGUGGUUUGUCGCGUUGUUCGUGAAAACCCAUCGCUCAACGAUGGGCCGGCAGGCGAUACGGGCAGACUUGAGUACUGGCAGGGGAGACGUGGAAUUCCUGGUGUAGCGGUGAAAUGCGCAGAUAUCAGGAGGAACACCGGUGGCGAAGGCGGGUCUCUGGGCGAGUAACUGACGCUGAGGAACGAAAGCGUGGGUAGCAAACAGG
rnacentral:rRNA from 1 species